rnacentral:rRNA from 1 species
UACGGAGGGUGCAAGCGUUAUCCGGAUUCACUGGGUUUAAAGGGUGCGUAGGCGGACAGGUAAGUCAGUGGUGAAAUCUCUGGGCUUAACUCAGAAACUGCCGUUGAUACUAUUUGUCUUGAAUGUCAUGGGGGUAAGCGGAAUAUGUCAUGUAGCGGUGAAAUGCUUAGAUAUGACAUAGAAUACCAAUUGCGAAGGCAGCUGGCUACACGAAUAUUGACACUCAGGCACGAAAGCGUGGGGAUCAAACAGG